rnacentral:rRNA from 1 species
AGCCGGUACAGGAUGGACCCGCGUCUGAUUAGCUAGUUGGUAAGGUAACGGCUUACCAAGGCGACGAUCAGUAGCCGACCUGGGAGGGUGAUCGGCCACAUUGGAACUGAGACACGGUCCAAACGCCUACGGGAGGCAGCAGGGGGGAAUAUUGCACAAGGGGCGAAAGCCGGAUGCAGCACAGCCGCGUGAGUGAUGAAGGCCUUCGGGUCGUAAAACUCUGUCCUCAAGGAAGAUAAUGACGGUACUUGAGGAGGAAGCCCCGGCUAACUACGUGCCAGCAGCCGCGGUAAUACGUAGGGGGCUAGCGUUAUCCGGAUUUACUGGGCGUAAAGGGUGCGUAGG